CACGUAGGGUGCGAGCGUUGUCCGGAAUUAUUGGGCGUAAAGAGCUCGUAGGCGGUCCGUCACGUCGGGGUGUGAAAUUCCAGGGCUCAACCCUGGACCUGCAUUCGAUACGGGCGGACUAGAGUUCGGGUAGGGGAGACUGGAAUUCCUGGUGUAGCGGUGAAAUGCGCAGAUAUCAGGAGGAACACCGGUGGCGAAGGCGGCUAUCUGGACAGAGUCUGACGCUGAGGCGCGAAAGCUAGGGGAGCAAACAGG
rnacentral:rRNA from 1 species